AUUGAACGCUGGCGGCAUGCUUUACACAUGCAAGUCGAACGGUAACAGGCCUUCGGGUGCUGCCGAGUGGCGAACGGGUGCGUAAUGCAUCGGAACGUGCCCAGAGGUGGGGGUUAACGCAGCGAAAGCUGUGCUAAUACCGCAUGUGAUCUGAGGAUGAAAGCGGGGGACCAGGCAGCAAUGUUUGGCCUCGCGCCUUUGGAGCGGCCGAUGUCAGAUUAGGUAGUUGGUGGGGUAAAGGCCUACCAAGCCGACGAUCUGUAGCUGGUCUGAGAGGACGACCAGCCACACUGGGACUGAGACACGGCCCAGACUCCUACGGGAGGCAGCAGUGGGGAAUUUUGGACAAAGGGCGCAAGCCUGAUCCAGCAAUGCCGCGUGCGGGAAGAAGGCCUUCGGGUUGUAAACCGCUUUUGUACGGAACGAAAAGGCUCUGGCUAAUACCUGGGGCUGAUGACGGUACCGUAAGAAUAAGCACCGGCUAACUACGUG
rnacentral:rRNA from 1 species